GAUCCUGGCUCAGGAUGAACGCUAGCUACAGGCUUAACACAUGCAAGUCGAGGGGCAGCAUGGUCUUAGCUUGCUAAGACUGAUGGCGACCGGCGCACGGGUGAGUAACACGUAUCCAACCUGCCGUCUACUCUUGGACAGCCUUCUGAAAGGAAGAUUAAUACAAGAUGGCAUCAUGAGUCCGCAUGUUCACAUGAUUAAAGGUAUUCCGGUAGACGAUGCGG
rnacentral:rRNA from 1 species